rnacentral:rRNA from 1 species
GUUGGGAAUAUUGGACAAUGGGCGAAAGCCUGAUCCAGCCAUGCCGCGUGAGUGAUGAAGGCCUUAGGGUUGUAAAGCUCUUUCAGUAGGGAAGAUAAUGACGGUACCUACAGAAGAAGCCCCGGCUAACUUCGUGCCAGCAGCCGCGGUAAUACGAAGGGGGCUAGCGUUGUUCGGAUUUACUGGGCGUAAAGCGCACGUAGGCGGAUUGGUCAGUUAGAGGUGAAAUCCUGGAGCUCAACUCCAGAACUGCCUUUAAUACUGCCAGUCUAGAGUCCAGAAGAGGUGAGUGGAACUCCUAGUGUAGAGGUGGAAUUCGUAGAUAUUAGGAAGAACACCAGUGGCGAAGGCGGCUCACUGGUCUGGUACUGACGCUGAGGUGCGAAAGCGUGGGGAGCAAACAGGAUUAGAAACCCUUGUAGUCC